CGUAGUCAACAUGCCCAGGGGACGUGGAUAACCUCGGGAAACUGAGGAUAAACCACGAUAAGUCACUACUUCUGGAAUGGGUAAUGACUCAAAUCUACAUGGCCCCUGGAUUGGACUGCGGCCGAUCAGGCUGUUGGUGAGGUAAUGGCCCACCAAACCUGUAACCGGUACGGGCUCUGAGAGGAGGAGCCCGGAGAUGGGCACUGAGACAAGGGCCCAGGCCCUAUGGGGCGCAGCAGGCGCGAAACCUCUGCAAUAGGCGAAAGCCUGACAGGGUUACUCUGAGUGAUUUCCGUUAAGGAGAUCUUUUGGCACCUCUAAAAAUGGUGCAGAAUAAGGGGUGGGCAAGUCUGGUGUCAGCCGCCGCGGUAAUACCAGCACCCCGAGUGGUCGGGACGUUUAUUGGGCCUAAAGCAUCCGUAGCCGGUUCUACAAGUCUUCCGUUAAAUCCACCUGCUUAACAGAUGGGCUGCGGAAGAUACUAUGGAGCUAGGAGGCGGGAGAGGCAAGCGGUACUCGAUGGGUAGGGGUAAAAUCCGUUGAUCCAUUGAAGACCACCAGUGGCGAAGGCGGCUUGCCAGAACGCGCUCGACGGUGAGGGAUGAAAGCUGGGGGAGCAAACCGGAUUAGAUACCCGGGUAGUCCCAGCUGU
rnacentral:rRNA from 1 species